rnacentral:sRNA from 1 species
AGUUCGGGUCGGCGAGCGGCUGGAACCCCGGCUUGCCUUCGGUCACGUGACCGUAGAAGGUGUGGCCUCGAUAAAUGCCGGGCACGGUCAACUGCCGCGUGCGGGCAAGCU